rnacentral:tRNA from 1 species
GCAAAGGUGGUUCAGUGGUAAAAUUCUUGCCUUCCAUGCAGGAGACCUGGGUUUGACUCCCAGCCAACACA